UUACGGUCAAAUCACGCUGAAAACACCGGUUCUCGUUCGAUCACCGAGUUAAGCAUCGUAGAGCCAGGUCAGUACUUAGAUGGGGGACCGAUUGGGAACACCUGGUACUGUAAG